GCGGGAGUAGCUCAUUUGGUAGAGCGNNAGGUGGCGGGUUCGAGCCCCGUCUCCCGCUCAA
rnacentral:tRNA from 1 species